UGCCAGGGCGUAUCCAAGAUGCACCCCUGUA
rnacentral:piRNA from 1 species